rnacentral:tRNA from 3 species
GGACCUGUGCCCCCAGCGGCCAAGGGAGCGGAUUCUUAAUCCGUCGCGAAAGCAUCGUCGGUUCGAGUCCGACCAGGUCCUCCA